UUAAUAUUUUUUAAUCAAUUUUUUUCUCUUUUGUUCUUUGUGUUGAUGUGUGAAAAAAGAAAUAAUAUAAAAGUGAAAUAAGUAAGAGUAAAAUAGAAAAGAAAAAAAUAAAAAUGAUUAAAAAAUAUUAAAAAAUAAAAAGAAAUGUAAGUGAAAAACAGAUGAAUGAAAAAAUGAGCUCCCUUUAUUUUACUCAUCAAAUUAAUAUUACAUGUAAGUAAGAUGAAUGGAGGGGAGGCCCUAGCUAGCUUCAGAUCUCAGUGAGUCAUCAGUUCACUGCUUCGUCUUCAUCGGUACCGGAGGCCGAGUCGGUUCCUCCACCGGCGUCGACUGGUUACUCUUUCCCUUGGCCUUUAUAGAUGCGGGUGUUGCCAAGCUCAAAAAUUCCUACUCUCUCCGAUUUUAUCCCCGUAAUAUUAUUCCCAACGAUGUUGAAGUCAUUGCCUCUCCCGCCCUUGCCUUUUUUCUUGGGUUGGAGAGUUUUAGUGCUCACUGAUGGGGAUUUCGAGCUGUUGCUGUUUUGUUGGUCGGUGUUCCCCUUAGAAGAAUCCUCAGAACCUUGUUUCUGAUCACCAAGCUGAGGCUUCAGAUAUAGCCAGCCGGUAGACAUUUUCACCGUCUGGGAUCCUUGUCUGGAGGUAUCGAUAAUUGGCUGCUUGUGUGCCAAACAAAACUCUUUUUCUUUAUAUAUAAGACAAAGCAACCAAUUGGCAGAGCACGCGGGUCCAUUGUACCCCAUUAGUAAGUUGAAUAAAGAAGAGAAGUGAGUAAAAAAAAAUUUGCUCAUGUGGGUGUGAACCUGUUUAACAAUUGCGCUUCAUGAUAACAAUAGAAAUUUGAUGGGGUUAGUAAUUUUAAUUGUUUAUGAUUAAUAAAGUUUACAUAAUUAAUUAGCAUUUGUAAUCAUGCAAUUACCUUUACCUUUUUCUAAUGAUAAUUUAUUUAAUAUUAGUAGCAGCCGUCACCAUUUCAAUUUGGGUCUACAAAUUUUUUAUGCCCCAUCAUGUGAAAGAAACAUGAACACCAAUAGGAAAAACGAAAAAUUUCCAUCCACAUAAAGUACCUUCGUCUUGACUAUACUACUCCAAGAUGAUUAUCAGGAUUCUUUUUUUAUUUAUUAUUCCCAUUUUUAUCCUCACCUCUAUACAAGGUGGGUCUCCAAAUGAAGCUGAAUACCUGCACAAGGAGAUGGCAACAAAACCCUUUACUGGUCCCUCUAGAAAAUUAGUUUCUGAAACUCAAACAGAGCUCCCACGAAAAGAAACUGAAACAGUGCUCCCACAAAAAGAUACUGAAUCAGAGCUCCCGCAAAACAGAACUAGUGAGGCAGAAAAUAGUAAGAACCAGACCUGGAACAUUCGUGAGAAUGUAAUUACCGGAGCAGAAAGCAGAAACGUUGGGGUUUUCGACUUUGGCAACGAAUAUCAUGAAGGUGGUGCUGUUGAUCAUCAUCAAGGAAGGAAGGGUCAAAACAACAGAGACUACAACAUUGAUGGCAACAAGAUUGAUGCAAAAGAUGGGGAGUCUGUUGGGAUCGGCAAAUUUGGCAACAAGUACUACAAACCGAGGAAAGAAGAAGGAACGAGCAAGAAGCCAUGGUAUAAGUUUUGGUAAAAAUAAACAAGAGAGUAAGUAAGAGAGCUGCGCUGCUGAAUAAAGAAAGAGGCUGGAGUUCAUUUCCAUUUUAAAGUCCAUGUCUUUGUUUCUUUGUAGUGUCUACUAUUUGAAUGUGGUUAGUUACAGUAUUGGAGUUGAGAAUCUGGUCUCUUGGGUGGAUCUGUGGAAUUUAAAAUAUUGAUUUGCAGCAUGAAAAAUACGUUCUAAAUGAGAAAAGUAGGGAUUAUGAACCCCGAAGCUAUGUGGGUCUUGAUCAAAAUCAUAGAAGGAUCAACCCCUAACAUAUACUCAUCAGUAAUCUGUGUGUAUUUGAAUUUAUUAAUUUGUACAAACGAGAAAAGGAAACUUUCCCGCAUUCGAAUGCCAUGAACAUCUGAAAGCUUAAUUCUGAGCAUGAGAAAGAACUAAUAGGGAAGAAAUCUGACUUAUUGAUUGCCACAAAACGAG
rnacentral:lncRNA from 1 species